UGUGGUGGCUCAGUGGUAAGGGUACUCGCCUAGCACGUGUGAGGCCCUGGGUUCAAUCCUCAGAACCACAU
rfam:Ictidomys tridecemlineatus contig099788, whole genome shotgun sequence.